rnacentral:rRNA from 1 species
AGAGUUUGAUCCUGGCUCAGAAUGAACGCUGGCGGCGUGCUUAACACAUGCAAGUCGGAUGUGCCGCAAGGUGCAUGGCAGACGGGUGAGUAACGCGUAGGGAACCUACCUCUUUGUGGGGAAUAACGUUCCGAAAGGAAUGGUAAUACCGCAUGAGAUCCACGACUGGGAUGUUGUGGAUGAAAGCCGGGGAUCGAAAGACCUGGCGCAAGGAGAGGGUCCUGCGUCUGAUUAGCUAGUUGGUGGGGUAACGGCCUACCAAGGCGACGAUCAGUAGCCGGCCUGAGAGGGUGAUCGGCCACACUGGAACUGAGACACGGUCCAGACUCCUACGGGAGGCAGCAGUGGGGAAUAUUGCACAAUGGGCGCAAGCCUGAUGCAGCGACGCCGCGUGCGGGAUGACGGCCUUCGGGUUGUAAACCGCUUUCAGCAGGGACGAAAUUGACUGUACCUGCAGAAGAAGCCCCGGCUAACUACGUGCCAGCAGCCGCGGUAAUACGUAGGGGGCAAGCGUUAUCCGGAUUCAUUGGGCGUAAAGCGCGUGCAGGCGGUUGCUUAAGUCUGAUGUGAAAGCCCUGGGCUUAACCCGGGAAGUGCAUUGGAAACUGGGCAACUUGAGUACGGGAGAGGAUAGUGGAAUUCCGAGUGUAGGGGUGAAAUCCGUAGAUAUUCGGAGGAACACCGGUGGCGAAGGCGGCUAUCUGGACCGAUACUGACGCUGAGACGCGAAAGCGUGGGGAGCAAACAGGAUUAGAUACCCUGGUAGUCC